rnacentral:rRNA from 1 species
CGGGGUGAGUAACGCGUGGGUAACCUGCCCUAUACACAUGGAUAACAUACUGAAAGUUUACUAAUACAUGAUAAUAUAUAUUUACGGCAUCGUAGAUAUAUCAAAGUGUUAGCGGUAUAGGAUGGACCCGCGUCUGAUUAGCUAGUUGGUGAGAUAACUGCCCACCAAGGCGACGAUCAGUAGCCGACCUGAGAGGGUGAUCGGCCACAUUGGAACUGAGACACGGUCCAAACUCCUACGGGAGGCAGCAGUU